GGUGAAGAACGCAGUAAAAUGCGAUAAGUAAUGUGAAUUGCAGAAUUCAGUGAAUCAUCGAAUCUUUGAACGCACAUUGCGCCCGCCAGUAUUCUGGCGGGCAUGCCUGUUCGAGCGUCAUUUCAACCCUCAAGCACAGCUUGGUGUUGGGACUCGCGUUAAUUCGCGUUCCCCAAAUUGAUUGGCGGUCACGCCGAGCUUCCAUAGCGUAGUAGUAAAACCCUCGUUACUGGUAAUCGUCGCGGCCACGCCGUUAAACCCCAACUUCUGAAUGUUGACCUCGGAUCAGGUAGGAAUACCCGCUGAACUUAAGCAUAUCAAUAAGCGAAGGA
rnacentral:misc_RNA from 1 species